CUACGGGAGGCAGCAGUGGGGAAUAUUGGACAAUGGGGGAAACCCUGAUCCAGCAAUGCCGCGUGUGUGAAGAAGGCCUGCGGGUUGUAAAGCACUUUCGGUUGGGAGGACUGCUUCUAGCACUAAUAUUGUUGGAAGUUGACGUUACCUUCAGAAGAAGCACCGGCUAACUCCGUGCCAGCAGCCGCGGUGAUACGGAGGGUGCAAGCGUUAAUCGGAAGUACUGGGCGUAAAGCGCGCGUAGGCGGCUAGAUCAGUCGGGUGUGAAAGCCCCGGGCUUAACCUGGGAACUGCAUCCGAUACUGUCUAGCUUGAGUACAGGAGAGGAGAGUGGAAUUCCACAUGUAGCGGUGAAAUGCGUAGAUAUGUGGAGGAACACCAAUGGCGAAGGCAGCUCUCUGGCCUGAUACUGACGCUGAGGUGCGAAAGCGUGGGGAGCAAACAGGAUUAGAUACCCGUGUAGUC
rnacentral:rRNA from 1 species